rnacentral:rRNA from 1 species
GAUGAACGCUGGCGGUGUGCCUAACACAUGCAAGUCGAACGAAGCAAUUAAGAUGAAGUUUUCGGAUGGAAUCUUGAUUGACUGAGUGGCGGACGGGUGAGUAACGCGUGGAUAACCUGCCUCACACUGGGGGAUAACAGUUAGAAAUGACUGCUAAUACCGCAUAAGCGCACAGUGCCGCAUGGCAGUGUGUGAAAAACUCCGGUGGUAUGAGAUGGGCCCGCGUCUGAUUAGCUAGUUGGUGAGGUAACGGCCCACAAGGCGACGAUCAGUAGCCGACCUGAGAGGGUGACCGGCCACAUUGGGACUGAGACACGGCCCAG